UACAGAGGUCCCGAGCGUUGUUCGGAUUCACUGGGCGUAAAGGGUGCGUAGGUGGCAUGGUAAGUUUGAUGUGAAAGCUCAGGGCUCAACCCUGAAAUGGCAUUGAAUACUACUGUGCUGGAGGUUUGGAGGGGGGACUGGAAUUCUUGGUGUAGCAGUGAAAUGCGUAGAUAUCGGGAGGAACACCAGCGGCGAAGGCGGCACUCUGGGCUGGAACUGACGCUGAGGAGCGAAAGCGUGGGGGAGCGAACAGG
rnacentral:rRNA from 1 species